CAAGGAGUGGGCGGGCAUGUUUGUCCCGGGGAGCUAUUGUCCUCCUGGGAUGCGGAGUAGGUCUCUGGCUUAUUAGCUGUUUAAAAAGAGAACAUGCCAGACACAAAAUGGUUGUUUACCAGGCUAUGACCACCAUUAAAAAGGGUGCUUCUCCCAACAUAUGGCUGGCCUCUUUGAAAGAUCAAGAGUUCGCCCUAGAUCAUUUUUGUCACAGUCAUGUGGAGUCAUUGUAUCCAGGUACGGGCAACUUUCCUCGAACUCGGACCAACCUAAGACACGGGGCCCGGUGGCGAUAGGGUAACUCUAUGACGGGUAAGGCCGAGUUUGGAUGAGAACGACCUAAGACAGGAGCAAUGACAAGAUUGACGUGACACCCAGAUCUAGACCAGUCAUUUUAUUAAACAAAAAAGGGGGAGAUGUAGAGAGCGGCGCGGCGAAACAAAGAUGGCGCCGACAUCCAGCCUUGUCUGGAUAUAAACGACUUACUGCGCAUGUGCAGGCUUGUCCCCUUGCUAGGGCUCCCUCUAGUGGUGAACAGCGGUACUGCACAUGUGCGGUUUAUGCACCAGGUGUUAGUUGACCGUUAAUAUGCUAAUGAGGUGAUUCAUUCUCCGCCAAUCCCUGGAGGACAAGUAGUGGGGUGAUCAAAGCCCCACCAAUCCCUGAGAGAUAAUUAGCAUACUGUUGUCUAUAUAAGCCGAGCGAUUUUGCUGCUCGGAGUCCCUGUUCAAGAGAGCUGUAACACUAAGAGAGCUGUAACACUAAGAGAGCUGUAACAC
rnacentral:lncRNA from 1 species